AUGCCGUACUAUAGAAACCAAAGGAGUAUGGGUUUAAUGAAAAACUGGCAUACCCCUUCCAGAUUAACCCGCUUUCAUCUAGACUGCAUCACUUACCACCACGUAGAAUGGCAGUUAAAAGCUAACUUGUAUCUGCUU